GAACAUUUCAUCGGGGCUAGUUUACAGUUUCAGAGGAUCAGUCCAUUGUCAUGACCUGAAUCCAGCAUACUCACCGUUUGUAUUUGGAGGAACACGUGGCUGGAACGGAUUCUGGAAUCAUCCUUUGAUACCUAAAAUGGGUGUGCAAGUUGACAGUGGACAAGAAGGCGUCUGGGAUUGAUGGAUCAGAUGAUGGGUCUGUGAAGACAAUGAAGCCAGGAAUUCCCAGUGAGCCCAGCCAGCCAUGCCUGAUCCAUCAAGGGAGGCACAACAUGCAAACCAAUAAAGAUCUUUCUACACAAUUGAAAGAGAAGAAGGAAUCACAGGAGAACGCCGUGUGCACAGGUCGGCCCUUCCCGAGAUCUGAGUUUGGUGACUGGGAUCUCUCCGGAUCUAGAAAUAAGCCACCUGGUUGUGGCCUACCAGACUGUUGUGUGAGUCUCAGGUCCUGUAACAAGAAGAGAAUACGCACACGGGAGCGCUUGGAUGUGCACAAAGGCAAGUGCUGCUCCAUAGAGAGAAAUGCAGUCAUUAGAAUGAACGCCCUUGGCUUGUUUAAUGUUUAAUAUGUACAGCUUUUAGGUAUGAUCUCUAUAGCCUGUUCACAUAUGAUCUUGACUCUCAAUCACCAUCCAGAUUCAAAAGGAACUGGAAGUUUGAAAAAUAGCUUUUAAUAACAAAGUUUACAAAAAGCUCUCAAGGUUGGAACACAUCACUAACAUGUGCUCAGAGACCAAAGAGAUCGAAUGGCUUGACUCUGCUGAGAGAGAGACUUGGCCAGUGUGCUUCUAAGAGGCAGAGAGGAGGAGGCCCACCCUCGGGGAGGACAUAUUUGCUUACAUGAAUCCAGCCUAUAGUGAGCAGCCCCAGUUCCUCCUGAAUCAUAAACAGCUCUCCUCAUUCUUCGUGUGACAAUAAUCAGGGCCUCUGUCUUGCUCUGGGAUAAUCACAUGUCUUAUGAGGUACACUUCUCUCACCUGCCAUGAGAAAACUUGUCACAAUUUCCUGGGGGCCAUAAUGACCCACAGUGGGCAGAAAUUUUCUUCUCCAAGUCGGGCCAGGGCUGACUGGGAGCUGUGACUGUGGACUUUGCUCUCAGCUUGAGUGGAUGGAGUGAUAUUUCUGGAUUUGACUGUGAAGUGAUUCUGAAGAAACUUAUGUGUGGUUCACAGACUCGGUAGGCAAGGCCCACCCUUCACUCAGGCAGCAAUGUGAAGCCAUCUGAGAGCCGCACUGGGAGAAGCAGUGUGGAGCAGACACUUCCUCUGCGUCUCCUGGGAUAGACAUGCUUGCUUUAGCUUUCUUCAUCAGAUAUCCAAGUCUG
rnacentral:lncRNA from 1 species